GCUGUUUCUAUGUUAACGUGAGGUCCACUCAACAUGCUGUUUCUAUCUUUACGUGAGGUCCACUCAACAUGCUGUUUCUAUGUUUACGUGAGGUCCACUCAACAUGCUGUUUCUAUCUUUACGUGAGGUCCACUCAACAUGCUGUUUCUAUGUUUACGUGAGGUCCACUCAACAUGCUGUUUCUAUGUUUACGUGAGGUCCACUCAACAUGCUGUUUCUAUGUUUACGUGAGGUCCACUCAACAUGCUGUUUCUAUGUUUACGUGAGGUCCACUCAACAUGCUGUUUCUAUGUUUACGUGAGGUCCACUCAACAUGCUGUUUCCUGUGUAAUGACCUAUGUGAAAUACAGGAAGUGCUUGA
ensembl:lncRNA